rnacentral:rRNA from 1 species
CACGUAGGGGGCUAGCGUUGUCCGGAUUUAUUGGGCGUAAAGAGCGUGUAGGCGGCCAGGUAGGUCUGCUGUGAAAACUCGAGGCUCAACCUCGAGAUGUCGGCGGAAACCAUCUGGCUAGAGUCCGGAAGAGGAGAGUGGAAUUCCUGGUGUAGCGGUGAAAUGCGCAGAUAUCAGGAAGAACACCCGUGGCGAAGGCGGCUCUCUGGGACGGUACUGACGCUGAGACGCGAAAGCGUGGGGAGCGAACAGG